rnacentral:tRNA from 1 species
GGCUCUGUGGCGCAAUGGAUAGCGCAUUGGACUUCUAGAAGUUUGAAGGAAUUCAAAGGUUGUGGGUUCGAGUCCCACCAGAGUCG